rnacentral:rRNA from 1 species
AUGAACGCUAGCGGAAGGCUUAAUACAUGCAAGUCGAGCGGUAGAUGGCUUCGGCCAUUGAGAGCGGCGCACGGGUGAGUAACGCGUACAUGACCUACCUAUCAGAAGGGAAUAGCCCUGGGAAACUGGGAUUAAUGCCCUAUGGCAUUGUUGUUGAUAAGUGAUGACAAUUAAAGCUGAGGCGCUGAUAGAUGGAUGUGCGUCUGAUUAGCUAGUUGGUGGGGUAAAGGCCCACCAAGGCGACGAUCAGUAGGGGGCGUGAGAGCGUGAUCCCCCACACGGGUACUGAGACACGGACCCGACUCCUACGGGAGGCAGCAGUAAGGAAUAUUGGUCAAUGCCCGCAAGGGUGAACCAGCCAUUCCGCGUGGAGGAUGAAGGCCCUAUGGGUUGUAAACUUCUUUUAGAUGGGAAGAAAAUGCUUUGUUUACAAGGUACUGACGGUACCAUCAGAAUAAGCACCGGCUAACUCCGU